GAUGAACGCUGGCGGCGUGCUUAACACAUGCAAGUCGAACGGAAAGGCUCCUGCUUGCAGGGGUACUCGAGUGGCGAACGGGUGAGUAACACGUGGGUGAUCUGCCCUGCACUUCGGGAUAAGCCUGGGAAACUGGGUCUAAUACCGGAUAGGACCACAUUUUGGAUGGUGUGGUGGAAAGUUUUUCGGUGUGGGAUGAGCUCGCGGCCUAUCAGCUUGUUGGUGGGGUAAUGGCCUACCAAGGCGUCGACGGGUAGCCGGCCUGAGAGGGUGUACGGCCACAUUGGGCCUGAGAUACGGCCCAGACUGCUACGGGAGGCAGCAGUGGGGAAUAUUGCACAAUGGGCGCAAGCCUGAUGCAGCGACGCCGCGUGGGGGAUGACGGCCUUCGGGUUGUAAACUCCUUUCGCUAGGGACGAAGCGCAAGUGACGGUACCUGGAGAAGAAGCACCGGCUAACUACGUG
rnacentral:rRNA from 1 species